AGUACACGUAUAGUUACCGUUUCAAUCCAUGGUUACGAUUUGUUGUGGCGAUAAGAUUGGCAAAGAAAAGCGAAAUAUUUUUCUCUUUGCAACGAUGUUCAUAAGGAUUUUCUAAAUAUGAUGAACUGCACUGGGGAUAUGAAGGACAUCGUGGAAAAGCUAGAACGGAUUUAACCGAUUUUCAAUCUUGCCGGGUUAUCCUACUUGGUAUAGUCUGUGGCAUAGUAAUCUAGGCUCGAAAGGCCCAGAAACGUCCGCAGAAAAAAAUUCGAUACACUGGAUGUCCCGUCGAAAGAAGCGGAGACUAACAUCAGCCGAAAGCUAAAGUUAAGCGCCAAAUGGUCGCCGAAUUGCGAAAUGAACUGAACACCAUCCUUACGGUCAUGCUGCUGUGGACCUAUUCGCUCCCUUAAAGCAAAUUGAUCAAAUCUAAUAAGAAAUAGUUAUGAGAUGAAGUUUACGAACUACGAGAAAUUAUUUCACCUACUCUGUUUUCUUUUAAAGAAAGGGUGGUAUUAUAUGCAGGUUAGAAAAGUGCCACCUCAUCUGGCCUUGAAUGCGAUCAUUAUUUCCGAGGAGUGCAGGACUAGCAGUAAGCAUGGCCAAACUUAAAUAUAUGGGAUGGUCAUGAUAGAAUCACUGCUGCGCCUGGGAUAUGCAGGUCAAUCAUUCAUAUGAGUAUUCGGUUCAGGAAAGUCGAUUUCAUUCGUCUUGCAUUAGUUCCUUGUUCAAGAAGGCUUGUUUCACAUUAAUGUAUUCAAUUCAACCUGUCUAAGAAAUGUAUCAUGGAUAUGGAAGAACAGCCCUCUCUGUUCCCAUAAUGCUCAUAGGAAGCCAGGUUUUUGGUAAUAACCUUAACAUUAAAGCCACAGAGAACAGACAUCCAUGAUCGAACUAAAAUAUUUAAAAAACGUGUGUAAACAUUUGAAUUAAUAUACGAUAAACAGUAGCGCCGCCACACCAACCUAUCCCAACUAUCCGUCAAAUCCAUUCCGGAACCGGUUCGAAAUCCUGAACGGACUCAGUACGGAAUCUUGCUCAAAGAAAACAUCCGAUUCCGACUCUAUCGGUUGAUGCAUUUGAGCUGAAAUUCAUGUUGGAAGUCCGAACCGGUUCCGGACUAGUUUGACUGGGUAGAGGGAUAACUGCUGUCAAUUCUGUCGAACUUAGCCACAAAAAAAAACAUGACGACAGUAGCGCACCUGGUUUGGAUAUCCGAGCUACCUUCCAAACCGUUAGAGAUUUUACACAAGUUGAAUGCUGAAGAUGGACUGUCUGUUCUCUGUGUUAAAGCUAUGCAAAUAAUGAUAAGUGCUACGAUUAGCCGAUAAGUGAACGACUUAUGUACAUAGAUUGUUGAGACAUCCCGACCGCAUACUGAAAAAUAUUAAACGAAUAUACGCUUUCUAAUGCAUAGAGAUGCAGAAGGAUUUACUUAAAGAGUGAAUACACGUGAUUCGAAUUUGUUUAA